CCGACAUUUAUCGGUUAGAGCUAUUCUGUACAGCUCCUCACCGACGCGCGUCGUUAAAAAUGAACGACAAGUAUCGGUCAUAAACGAUAAUCCUACCGAGGGGUCCCUUGGCCAUCGGUAGCGCUUGACCGACGCACACGGACGAGAUUAUCGUCGGUUUAUGUGAUUAUGUUAGUGAAUUCGCGAUUUGAGGUAGUGAUACUGCACAUUGCGAUUUCACAUAUUUAUAAAAUUUUUGUUUAGUUUAUUACGUUUCUGUUGGUAUAAAAUAUAAUAGUGUGUGUGUGCUGUAAAUUGUAACCCAAAAAUGUGCAACGAAGGAUCGACAAGCUGCAAGAGAAAAGUUCCGCACAGCACAACAUCCGUUUAUAGGUGCUAUCGGUGCAAUAGAUUGCACUUAUGUAUCGAUUCUGGCACCGCAACUUCACGAAGAAGCCUACAUCAAUCACUGGGGUGAUCACUGUCUCAAUGUUCAAGCGGUAUAUAUAAAUAAAUAAUUUGUGACCCUGAUUUAAAAAUUCUAAACAUUAAUGCUCGAUAUCCUGGGAC
rnacentral:misc_RNA from 1 species